rnacentral:rRNA from 1 species
UUUCUUGGUCAUUUAAGAGGAAGUAAAAGUCGUAACAAGGUUUCCGUAGGUGAACCUGCGGAAGGAUCAUUAAAUGAUUUAAAUUUAAUCCAACACACACUUGUGAACCUCAUCGUAGAUAACUGUUAAACAGUUAUCUAUGUUUAAUUCUUAAUCACACUAUAUGACAUUGUAUGUCUGGAAUGUAAUACUAUUUUAUUUUACAACUUUCAACGACGGAUCUCUUGGCUCUCGCAUCGAUGAAGAACGCAGCGAAUCGCGAUAAGUAAUGUGAAUUGCAGAUUUUCAGUGAAUCAUCGAAUCUUUGAACGCACCUUGCGCUCUUUGGUAUUCCGAAGAGCAUGCCUGUUUGAGUAUCAUUUAUAUUAAUCAAACUAACUUUUGUUGGUUUGGAGGUGGGAUUUGCUGGCUCUGUUUCCUAGUCAGCUUUCCUUAAAUAUAUUAGUAAAGUUUUAAAAAAAGGUCUAAGUUUGCCAUGCCCAUCAAUAAGGAAGGGUGUGGCCAUUUUGGACGUGAUAAAGAUCGUCUAAAAGUGUUUGAUCUCAAUUAGCUUUGCUUCCAACACCCAUGUCUACUUAUUAGAUUGAUAUAUUUAAUAUCAGUCGAACAGAGACUAAACAAACUGAUUCGUGAUCUCAAAUCAGGUAGGACUACCCGCUGAACUUAAGCAUAUCAAUAAGCGGAGGAAAAGAAACUAACAAGGAUUCCCCUAGUAACUGCGAGUGAAGCGGGAAAAGCUCAAAUUUUGAAUCUGGUGGUCAUUCUUGGUCCAUCCGA